ACUAGUUGAAUCAGCAGUCGGAAAUCAGUUUGUUGCUUGCUAGAUACCCAGAAGGUUGUCCGUAGGGCUGGCAAAAUCUGACCCGACCCGAAAACACGACACGAACCCGACCUGAAAAUAGCGGGUUAGGGUUGAGGUUUUCGACCCGAAAACUUAAAUGGGUUGACACGAACCCGACCUGAUUUUUAAAUGGGUUAGGUUAAGGUUGGAAAUCCUAACCCGAAAAUGACCCAUAUAACCCGAAAAAAAAAAUCAGAUCAUUAUAGGUAACCCAAACUCAUUUAAGUUAACAAAAAUAUCUAUUUAUAUAUAAAAAAAACCCAAAGAAAACCUACAGCCCAAAUCAAAAUGAGCCAUCCUAUUAAAACCAAAAACCCUAAACUUCUCCUUUCUUUUUCACUUCACUCAGCCGCUUCUCACCCUUUCUCUCUCUAAAAAUUUCUCUCUCUUAAAUCCCUAAACUACUCUCUAAUCUUUUUCAUCCCCUAAAUUCCUCUCUAAUCCUUGGAUUUUCAUCAAUCUAUACUUUCUGCUAAACACUUCACCUUCUUCUCAACAUCUACUUCAUCAUUUCAAGCAAGUUGCGGCUACUCAAAUCCAUCUUUCUUUACAGAGAGGAGAAGAUUCAUUCCACUAUGGAGGGUGGGCAUAACCAAGAGAAUUGAAGAUUUUAUUUAAAUCACUAUAGCUUUUGAUAUUCAAUUUGUAAUUUGUUAAGUAGACUACUUGGUUUGUAAUCUAUUAAGUAGUUUUGUUAGACAAUUUUGUUUGGGUUUGAAUCUCUGUUUUGCUUGAGAAUUUAAAAUGCAAUUGAAUGAA